rnacentral:rRNA from 1 species
UACGAAGGGGGCUAGCGUUGUCCGGAUUUAUUGGGCGUAAAGAGCGUGUAGGCGGCCAGGUAGGUCCGUUGUGAAAACUCGAGGCUCAACCUCGAGACGUCGGCGGAAACCCUCUGGCUAGAGUCCGGAAGAGGAGAGUGGAAUUCCUGGUGUAGCGGUGAAAUGCGCAGAUAUCAGGAAGAACACCCGUGGCGAAGGCGGCUCUCUGGGACGGUACUGACGCUGAGACGCGAAAGCGUGGGGAGCGAACAGG